CGGGGCCCGCACAAGCGGUGGAGCAUGUGGUUAAUUCGAUGCAACGCGAAGAACCUUACCUAGACUUGACAUCCCGGGAAUCCUUAGGAAACUAAGGAGUGCCUUUCGGGGAGCCCAGAGACAGGUGGUGCAUGGUUGUCGUCAGCUCGUGUCGUGAGAUGUUGGGUUAAGUCCCGCAACGAGCGCAACCCUUAUCAUUAGUUGCUAACAUUCAGUUGAGAACUCUAAUGAGACUGCCAGUGAUAAACUGGAGGAAGGUGGGAUGACGUCAAAUCAUCAUGCCUCUUAUGACCUGGGCUAUACACGUGCUAUAAUGGCCGGUACAAAGAGUUGCGAAACUGUGAAGUUAAGCUAAUCUCAUAAAGCCGGUCUCAGUUCGGAUUGUAGUCUGCAACUCGACUACAUGAAGUCGGAAUCGCUAGUAAUCGCGAAUCAGAAUGUCGCGGUGAAUACGUUCUCGAGUCUU
rnacentral:rRNA from 1 species